rfam:Pseudoalteromonas tunicata D2 scf_1099591001457 genomic scaffold, whole genome shotgun sequence.
CGUUUGAGAAUUGAGAGGGGUUGCUCCUAGUACGAGAGGACCGGAGUGAACGAACCGCUGGUGUUCGGGUUGUCAUGCCAAUGGCACUGCCCGGUAGCUACGUUCGGAAUCGAUAAGCGCUGAAAGCAUCUAAGCGCGAAGCGAGCCUCGAGAUGAGUUCUCACUAGAGCUAUAAGCUCUCUGAAGGGCCGUUGGAGACUACAACGUUGAUAGGUUGGGUGUGGAAGCGCUGUGAGGCGUUAAGCUAACCAAUACUAAUUACCCGU